UGGGGAAUAUUGCACAAUGGGCGCAAGCCUGAAGCAGCCAUGCCGCGUGUAUGAAGAAGGCCUUCGGGUUGUAAAGUACUUUCAGCGGGGAGGAAGGGAGUAAAGUUAAUACCUUUGCUCAUUGACGUUACCCGCAGAAGAAGCACCGGCUAACUCCGUGCCAGCAGCCGCGGUAAUACGGAGGGUGCAAGCGUUAAUCGGAAUUACUGGGCGUAAAGCGCACGCAGGCGGUUUGUUAAGUCAGAUGUGAAAUCCCCGGGCUCAACCUGGGAACUGCAUCUGAUACUGGCAAGCUUGAGUCUCGUAGAGGGGGGUAGAAUUCCAGGUGUAGCGGUGAAAUGCGUAGAGAUCUGGAGGAAUACCGGUGGCGAAGGCGGCCCCCUGGACGAAGACUGACGCUCAGGUGCGAAAGCGUGGGGAGCAAACAGG
rnacentral:rRNA from 1 species